UACGUAGGGGGCAAGCGUUGUCCGGAUUUAUUGGGCGUAAAGAGCGUGUAGGCGGCCUGAAAGGUCAGCUGUGAAAACUCGAGGCUCAACCUCGAGACGUCGGUUGAAACCAUCUGGCUAGAGUCCGGAAGAGGAGUGUGGAAUUCCCGGUGUAGCGGUGAAAUGCGCAGAUAUCGGGAAGAACACCCGUGGCGAAGGCGGCACUCUGGGACGGUACUGACGCUGUGGCGCGAAAGCUAGGGGAGCAAACGGG
rnacentral:rRNA from 1 species